rnacentral:lncRNA from 1 species
GAACCUUUGGGAAAUGUGGUGCUCCAGUUUCUCCCGCACCUCAGGGCUGAUCAAAUACCCAGGAAGGACAGAGACAGACCUGUGGGCCUGGGAAGACCUGUAGGCCUGGGAAGACCUGGUCUCCUGGGGUAGGUUGGGAGUGACCUGGCUAAAGACUUGCUGAGAAUUUGUAACCAAAGAGGGUAAAGUUCUCCCUCUUUCCAGUUGUUUUUUCCAGAAGUGACUUUCCAGGUUUUCAAUUGCAUUUGAACUGAAAGACGAUGCCUUAUUUUGGACUGUAGGGCAAGAUGUUUCAGUGGAUCCAAUCUGGUGUUGAGAUGAUGAUGACUGGACUAGGCGAGAGGGUGAUGGAUGGACAGUUGUUUCGAACUGAGCCUGAGGUCGUGGAUGAUAUAGGGGUAUGACUGGAGUCAAGGAUUGGGGUCUGGCCUGGAUCUCCAUAUGAGCCCGAGAAGAUGGCUGACAGAGAGGGAUGUUUAGAUUCAAGGGGAUCGGUUGGGCUUGGAUCUCCAUGUGAGCCCGAGGAGGUUGUUGAAACUGAGGCAUGGUUGGAGUUGAGGGUUGUUGGUGGUCCUGGACCUCCAUGGAAAUCUUCGAUGUUGGUGGACAUUGAGGCAUGGUUGCCUGACCUCUACCUCCCCAAGGAAGGGGUUGGGCCUGGGUCUUCAUGUGAGCCCAAACAGGUGGUUGAAACUGGGGCAUGUUUGGAGUCCAGCGUAGGUGUUGGACCUGGGUCUCCAUGUGAGCCUGAGGUUGUGGUGGUUGACACUGGGACAUGGAUGGAGUCCAGAGUAGGGGUGGAACCUCGGUCUCCAUGUGAGCCCGAAGUGGUGCUUGAAAUUGAGGCAUGGUUUGAGCCAGGAGUUGGGAUUGGACCCGGGUCUCCAUGUGAGUUCGAGGUUGUGGCGGUUGAUACUGGGACAUGGAUGGAGUCUGGAGUAGGGGUGGAACCUGGGUCUCCAUGUGGGCCUGAAGUGGUACUUGAAUGUGAGGCAUGGUUUGAGCCAAGAGUUGGGAUUGGACCUGGGUCUCCAUGUGAGUU